UUGCAAUUGUUCAAUUUAAUAAUAAUAAUAAUCUAAUAAUUGUUAAUUUAUGAUACACUUUGUUUGUAGCUUGUACCUGCAAUUUAAAUUACGUAUUGUG